rnacentral:rRNA from 1 species
CCUACGGGAGGCAGCAGUGAGGAAUAUUGGUCAAUGGGCGCGAGCCUGAACCAGCCAAGUAGCGUGAAGGAUGACUGCCCUACGGGUUGUAAACUUCUUUUAUGCAGGAAUAAAGUGAGGCACGUGUGCCUUUUUGUAGUUACUUUAUGAAUAAGGAUCGGCUAAUUCCGUGCCAGCAGCCGCGGUAAUACGGAGGAUCCGGGCGUUAUCCGGAUUUAUUGGUUUUAAAGGGAGCGUAGAUGGGUCCUUACGUCAGUUGUGAAAGUUUGCGGCUCAACCGUAAAAUUGCAAUUGAUACUGGGAGUCUUGAGUACAGUGGAGGUAGGCGGAAUUCGUGGUGUAGCGGUGAAAUGCUUAGAUAUCACGAAGAACUCCGAUUGCGAAGGCAGCUUACUAAAGCGUUACUGACAUUGAUGCUCGAAAGUGUGGGUAUCAAACAGGAUUAGAUACCCUUGUAGUC